rnacentral:lncRNA from 1 species
UCAUCUCUCCUUGUGCCAUUAUCACUCCGUCCCUAAUAGUAAUUUCGGUGAGAGCAUUAUCAUCACUAAUACCAGUUAUUAUUUCCUCUUCAGCUAAGUGAUGCUUGAGGGGGGAAUUUUUAUUUGCCUUAUUCUAGUGAAGUAUUGAUGUUCAACUAGUUUUGUCAACACAGAUCAAUUUCUACUUACUUGAUUACCUGGUAAACCAACUCCAAAGGUAAAUAUGUUAGAUUCCGUUAGUAAUAAAUAAUGCAAGAUAUCCGACAUAAAGUAAACACAUAAAGUUGCUUUUAUCGUAGGUAAAUUGAUCCACGGGUGGAUAUUGACUCGAAAGAAAUUAACGGACAAGACUUUGCCCGUUGAUUUUUGGAUAAAUAGGUCUUGACAAGAUUUUGACAAAAUCAUCUUUUCACUAUUUUUUUCUAAUAUUUAAAAGUUAAAAAUUAAUGAAAUAUGUUUAUGGUAAAACAUUUUCUUAUUAGAAGUCAUCAGAAUUUCAAUAUUUUUUCUCUAAUUUAAAAGUUCAAAAUUAAUUAAAUAUAUUUAUGGAGGUAAGGAUAAAACUUAAUUUCAUUGCAAUUUCAUUAAAGUUCAUUACAUCAAGAAAACACGAAAGGAAAACAACAGCAGAGAAGACAAGACUAAUGACUAGGUCCUAGAUAGAUGCGGACAUUCCCACUUCAUUCUACUUCUUUCACAUCUUAAUAUUCUAUGGGUGGUAUGCAGAAAUUUCAGCUCUACCCUUUCUGUAUCCACCAGACUCUCCAAAUCCAUCUUAAAAGCGUUCCAAGUCUCUAAGUUGUGCCUUCCGAUCCCUCUAUGAUAAUGACAAACCUCUCUGAAUUUCUUCCAAGCCUUAGACAUCGUAUUAGGCUUCCUUUCCACUGGUUCCGAAAUUUGGGCAUAAAUGAGCUUUAAGUAGAUUUCAUGGUAGGUAUCAUCAAACCUCAUAAACUCAUAUUUGUAAAUCUGCACAUCGUUGGUGAUGGGCAUCCCGAGAUCAACCCAAUCGCAAUAGAGAAUGGUUUAUGGUCCCCAUAAAUCGUUCAUUUGAUCGUUGCAGAUCAUGUUGCAAACCCUGGCCUUCAAUGUAGGACACUCAUCAAUGGUAUGGCCACAUUGAUUUGGAUGAUAAUGACAUCUUUUAUGAGCAUCUUCGAGAAAGCAGCCAAGUCCUUCUAUUUGAUCAGGGUAGAAGACUCUCAUAUCUCUUAGGAUUUGAUAGACUUUCGAGCAUGUCACAAUCUGGGGGCACCGAGAAUGUCCUUUGAAAUGAGAUUUGAGGGUGAUCUUUUCACUUCCCGCCCUGAUCCUAGUUGGCGAGAUGACAUCCCCUUUAAUCUUGGCCUAACGGUCCUCUCUUAAGUUUAAAGGCGGAGCUUGUUCAAACUUCUUCUUUUCCUGUGCGAUCAACUGCUUGACUUUAGCAAUUUCCUUGUCAGCUUGGUCGGCCCUCCUAGUUAGUUUCUUGGCCUCUUCUUUUUGCAUUUCUUUCACUUAGGCUAACUCCGUUAUCCGCCUUUUCAGUUGUGUGGUCCUUGAAUCCAUGACAAAUUUUCUUGAAAGAAUAAGAAUACGUUUAAAAAGAAAGUUAACAUAAAUAGUUAAGGACUUUCUAAGAAACUUAUGGACUUGGACUGUUAUGGACGGACUUUCGAUAGUAGGUGUAUAUUUUUCGCCUAAGGGGUUUUCUAAGGAUUUAAGGAGUAGAUCAAUUUACCUUUGAUUUAACAACACACAUAGCACAUCACAUAAGAUAAUUAUAUCACACCACAAAUAGAAUAGUAAAUAACGUGUCCUAAUUGGGUGACUCUUUUGAGCUAAGGGUUGGCCUAGCGUCACGUAAUUGAGAUUAUGAUAAAGUGACCCAAGCCAUUAAUUUGAGACAAACUUCGAUUUUGGAAAUAAAAGUGCCAAGUUUCAUUGAAAUAUUACAAAUAAGAUCAAAAUACAUGAAAAAAGACAAUCCUAAAACUUAGUUUAGACCUUGUUUCUGAUCAUGCUGGUGGAGAACGUGAAGAUAAUGCCUCAACAUUGUUGCAUUAUGUUGGAAAUUUGAGCCAAUAUUUUAGGCGUGACCACUGUGGUUCCUAGAUGAAAGUGCCUUAUCAAAAUAGUUAUCCCAACAUCCUCAAGAGUUAUCCCAACAUCCUCUCCCCUUCUGGACUGGGUUUUAUAUCACCAUAAUAUUCUCGAGCCCAUACCUGGUAUUCUGGCAUACACUCUGUUGGUCCGCGUCUCACAUCUAUUAUGAGAAUGUUACUCCAUUCACGCAGAAUUUGACUGGCCCUAGGAACUCUAAAGUCUGGUCUAAAAAAGACUUUUGAAACUCACUUAUUUUUUCGGAGAGGGAUGAUCUGCGUCUGACCAAACUGUCGAAGUACACGCACCGGGGCAUAUGGUUGUAGACCUCUUAAUCCGAUAAGCUUAAUAUAAUAAAUCCCUCUGCAUCAUAUGUAAGCCAAGAAACAUAGCAGUCGUAUGUAUCUCCACUGGAUUUGGUCACUGGUACGAAAGGCUAAGAAAUCAAACCAAUCAUCGGUGCUGACCGAGGAAAUGAACCUCUUCAUUCUGUCAUCAUGAGUGUCGAUCUUAUGUGAAGCGCUAAACAUUAUGUCAGUCAUAUUGUCACAUUUGUAGAAAUGCUCUUUCGCCCAUAUCUACAAAAGAAGAUUACAACCUUCAAAGAACCGUGUUUUACCUCUUACACUUUCCAAGUGCACGAAAUAUUUUCGCCAAGAUCAUAGGAACCAAGGUGAUUUUUGCGCUAUCAACUCCUUUAAAAAGUGCUUGAGCCACAAACAUAUGCAAGUACUGAUAUUUUCAUAUUCUUGUGGAAAAACCAAAGUCUCUAGCAAGGCAACGACAAAUACAAUCGGGCGCAUAACCCGCCAAUGGGUAGAAAUGCAAGUGAACUCCUUCUUGAAUAGUUUAUAACUAUCUUGACGAUCGUAUCUCUCGUACAAAUAAUCCAAAGAAACCCAAUUGUUUUUUAAGCAACAGAGUUCAACAAUGUUCUUUAAACCUAAGCAGCGAAGAAAUUUCUUCCCUGACUGACUGUGAGGGAUGAUCUAACCUCUCCCUUGAUACUUCAAAUUAGUGAGUAAUAGAUCUCCUCUAAUGUGGGGGUGAAUUCAAAGUCUUUGAAUGUAAAAACAACUUGAUUUGGGUCCUAAAAUUGAAUCAAUAGUCUAACCACAUGCUUGUCGGGGGAGAUCUUGAAGACUGUAUGGAGGAACCCCAAUUUCCUUAUAAUCGUUAAUUUUUCAAUCGAGUCAAAAUUUUUCCACCAUAUCCUCAAUUUGUGUGGAACACCUUUGACUAUUCUAAUCUUGGGCACUUGGGAAACUAAAUCCAUCCUACAAGUAAAUACAAUAAAAUAAGUACACGUUUCCAAAUUUGCAGUAUCACAAUUAGGCUUGGAUCCAUUUAUCAUUAGCUCAUGCAUAAAAUAUGAGCGGUUGUCGUCGGAUCGUAAACCCAUUUGACAUAAGGGCGUUUCUUUAAUUCAUGGAAUCACACCUUGGGUCAAACCACCGAAGGCUUAUGCAUGCAUGACCUAUAUUCGGGGAAGCUCUAUCUUAAGUUCUCCUAAGAUUUGACAUGCUAGACACAAGAUUCCCGAGUGGACAACUCGAGUAAGAAGGCUACGCGAUCACACGAAAAAAGAUCUAGAAACACCGUGCAUACGCCAACUCUUCUAAAGUUUGAAAUUUGAAAGAAAUUUGUGAAUGCACGAAACACACCUCACGUGUACAUGUGAUUGUGUCAGUUUUCCCGAAUGAAAGAAAUAUGAGCGGAAUGGAAUUUUAUAUGAAAUUUAAACAAAUAAACACGUAGUAAUUAGCCACAACAAAUUAGAAAAUUCCUUUUUGGUUAGAACCUAGAUACAUUCCUAGCAGAUUCGUCAUUUCUGUUUUAUCUCUUUUCGAAUUUUAUUUUUAAAGAAAAUGAUUUCGACUUUUUCAAACUAUUUCAAAAUUUAGAAGUAGAAUUUUUUUCAGAUUCGCCACUUUAUUUUUUAUCAAAAACAUCAAGAAAAACUUUAAAUAGAUUUCAAAAAUCUAAAAACAGAAAUAGAUCUUCAAAAUUAGAGAAACCGAGUAAGGCUUUAAUUAACGCCCUAAAAAGAUUUUUAAGGCACUUAAAAGCGUCCGUUUAAAAAUGAUUCACCAAAAGACUUAUUUUUUUACUAACUUAAAAAGGGUGACUCACUUUACAAAAAGGUUGAUUUUAAAAUACUAAAAUUAUAUAUUUACUCAAAACUGACAUUUGUUCAUUCAAAUGAGCAAUAGUCUACUUAAAUUAGAACGGACGCUACAACAUAUUCUACUUAUUAAUUUUGAGAAAAUUAUUCCGCCAUAUUUAUGAUUGAAUUUUGAAAAAAUGUUGCAAAAUAUUCUACUUGAGAAAAUAUGUUACUUAAUUUGUAAUUAUUUUCUAAGAAAGGAUAUGAAAUAUCUUACUUGAAUUAAAAAGAAAAUCUAUAUAGACUAGGUGGCACAUUUGUAUUUAAAGAGGAAAUAAGUUGAUUUUUAUGGGAAAAGAGGAUUAUAUAAUUAUUUGCUAUCAUAAAAAUGGUCAUUUUGUUAUGGAUAAUACUUUUGAAAAAAAUUAAGAAAGCAUCAUAUUAAAAACAUUUUAUCAAUUGUAGAAAGUUAGAAUUUACGAGAAAAAAAUUAACUUUUCGUGUUUGAGGGAAAUUAUUUUUUAUUCAAGUAGACUAUUAGUCAUAUGAACAAAACAAAUAUCAUUUGGACUAAAGUACUCAUUUUCUAUUUUUUCUUUUCAUAGAGACUUGUUUAAGAAAAAGUCAAAGAAACCAAAUUAUUCCAUUUUUUGAAUAAAAUGAAUUAGGUGAGACAAUUGCGAAUCAAGUGGGAAAAUUGAGAUAAGAUAAAAUAGCAACAAACAUGGGGAAACACUAGGUUAAUUAAUUAAAGUUAGUGCAAGUAGACAUGUAUAAAUUGCAAUUUAUAAGAGAUUAAAGUUCGAGUUGGGCCCCUUUUGGUCCAUUAAAGUUGCAAUUUAUAAGAGAUUAAAGUUGAGUAAGCUGCAAAUUUUGGGCUUCAUGGACUUGGGUCCAUUUUCCUGCAGUGUAUACCAUAUGUAUACCGACCAUAUUUUCCCAUGAUUUAUUGUAUAUAUGCUGUAUAUCAGUGUCUAAAUGCGCACACUUGCUUCCAAUUUUAUUGUGCUUCAUAUAUGAGCAUAUACCAGCCAAUUUUGGCCCGUACUUCCCAUAUGUGGCGUAUAUCAACGUAUACCAGCAACUAUUUCCUGCAUAGUUAUCCAUUUUUUGACUUGGAGGUGGUUUGGGCUCAAAAAUUUGGGCCUUUUGGCCCAUUGGAGUAUGCAGGAGAAGAGUCCACUUGGACUCCAAAUCAAGGUGGUCAUGCAAAAAAAUAAAAAGGGGGAAAAGAACAAAAAUAACACCUAAAACUAAAAUAAUUUCAUAAAACUAACACCUAAAUUCUAAAACCCCAUAAACAGCCACUCGGAAACUAAUUCCAACCGAAUGACCAUUGUUUUGAUACUUCACAAUAUAUGUUGUGUACUUAUUUUUUAAGGCCGUGGUGUGCCAGGGUCGGGGGUUCGAAACGCCCCUCCAGCGAAGCUGGGGUGAGGGCGCGUAGGUCAGGCCCGGAGUGGUCCCCCCUCCCCGACACCUACGGAGUAGGUAUGAACCGGGUCGUCCCACUUAUUUUUUAAGGAUUCCAUGUUGUAUUUUGUUUUCUUUUGUUUUUUUAUCAAGAGAGAAUUCCACUUUUCUUUUGUUUUUAUGUGACCACUUGGAUUAAUGUUUUUUUUUUUUUUUUGGCUCCUUUUCUUUUUUAAAGAUUCUACUCAUUUUUAUUUUUUUAAACAAUUGAGUAAUUGCUUUUUUUUUCCAGAUUAUUUUACAUUCACCAACAUUAUUAAAAUAACAUACUAUUUGUUUUGUUUAGUUUUACUUAUUUAUACAAUAAAAUGCAAUACCAUAUACUUUUAAUAUAAUACAAUUAUUAAAGAUAUAUAUUUAUAAUAAUGAUACAGUUUCUAUAUCUAUUGCAAUACCAUAUACUUUUAAUAUAAUACAAUUAUUAAAGAUAUAUAUUUAGAAUAAUGAUACAGUUUCUAUAUCUAUACAUAUUCUAUAAAUAAUUAUAGCAUUUUUAUACAUAUAUUAUAUAAUUUUUAACUACAAUUAUUAUUUAGAUACAUAUUUUAUACGACUAUAUAUAGUUUCUACAUGCAUUCUAAAAAUGUAUCAAUCUAGUAUAAGAGAGUAUCAAUUGAGUAUAUGAACACUGCAAGUGUAUCAAUGUAAUAUAAAAGUAUAUUAAUAUGGUAUAAAAGAGUAUCAAUUGGGUAUAGAGGGAUUGCAUGUGCUUACAUAGAAUUUCCUUUUAUCUUUUUUAAAAAGUGUAUCAAUAUAAUAUAAAAGUGUAUCAAUUGAGUAUACAGAUUGCAUGUGCCCAAUUGGGCCAAAUGGCUAAAAAAGAUAUUAAAUUGGGCCGACUAGCCUAAGUUGUCCACCUUUUUAAUUAUGGGAAUUUUUUUUAAAAGUGGGCAAAAUGUGAUGCACUAUUGACACUAAAAUUUGAUUAUUUGUCCACACAAGAGCACAUUCAAUCAUAUCAUAAUAGGAGAUUAAUGAGAGCAAAAUUACAACGGCAUGCCAUAAUUCUUCAUUCCUUGGAAAUUAUGGAUUUUCAUAACGGUGGGACUAACUCUUGAUUAUAUAUGGAGUGAGAAAUCAUGGAAAUAGGGCAAGCCAUGCAAUUAAACUUAUCUAAGAAUAUGGGGAAAAGACUACAUAAUUUUUAUGUGACAAUUUGUGCUCCGUAAAGAGUGGGGAUAACUUUACUAGUCAAGCAAUCCAAUGUCAUGAAUUCCUAUAAUCUUCAUUUACAAGUUGAAAAUAGUAUAUAAACACAUUCAACAAAAUCACGCGCCCUAAAAGCAAGCAUAUUAGUAAACCCGGCAUGCUAAUAACGGCAACAAGAUACCCAUGAUAUAAUCUGGUAUUUGUCUAGAACUAUAGUUAAGGUGACGUACAGACAAAACCAAAGGAAAAAUAAGGAAAAGAAAGACACAGGAAGCAUUCUUCAAAAGCAAACAAGAUACAACUGGAAUGAAUUUUACUUCUCCAAUUUAUUCUUUUUCAACUUUCUCUUUCUAAUGGACUGAGUUUUGGUUUGGUCGAAUUGGCAUAAUAGUAAGGAAAAAUAAAGUGAUCUAUAUAGGCAGGACAGUCAAUCUUUACUAAUGCCAAACACACACACACACAAUCUAGUCCGGUCGUCAGUAAACGAGUGUUUCAAGCAACUUAACACUACCAGCGCAUCUUUAGCAAGCUAAUCCUAGCAAUUUCACCCUAAAACAUCAUCAUUCGUCAAUCCGAAGAACAUGUAAGCUAAAUCUCAAAUAAAAUCUCUUUCCCACUCUUUUUAUAAACAGAUAAUUUCGUAAACUGAAAUAACGAUGAAUGGUCCCAUGAAAACAAUAAGGUUUGAAGAUUUUCAACGAGUACAUUCCGACAAGACCAAAUUCUUAACUCUCAAUAACAGAAAGAACACAUAAGGCUCGAAUAUUGGCCUUCAAACUCAUCGAUUCGGUGCUAUUCAAAUUGCAACAAAAUGUCGUAACAAAGAAAAAUGCAAAAAUUAUAAGGUUUCGCACCUGUUUUCCGGAAACAAACGGGACAAAACGGGCUUAUAACGUUGAGAAUUCCACCACCUAGACCUGAUUCCGAUCGACGACAUUCCAACAGACCGUCAAAUUUUGAUUUUUUUCUAGGUGUUCUUCGAGAAUUUCAGUUUCGUUAGGUUAAAGGCAAACACCUUCAGAACCCCCAAUUUUUUCCCCAAAAUCCUCCCCCCCCAAUGGGGGGAAAUAUUAGGGUUUUUUUAUCCGAGUUUCAAAUUUUGGAUUGAAUUUCUUAGAGGAUUGAGGUCCACGGUAGGACAAAGUUAUUAAUGGCAACAUCAGUGGACAUUGGAGAAAAGAGCCAUUUGGCUUUGGUCAAAGAAACAAAUUAAUUUUUUGUCCAAAUUGGUGAAUCACAAACUGAAAAAGGAUGAAAGUUUUCUGGAUUUUGGCCGGGAAUGGCUGAACCAGAGGGUAAAUUGGUAAAAUUGAUAGGAAACGGCUAAUUUGACUAAGGUUUGCUGUCGUUGAUUGUGGCUGUUACGUCGUUGCCGCUGUUGGGAGCUGUACGCAGCUGUUUUCUAUGCAGCUAUCGUGAUAUUGUUGUUAGCAUUUUUGCUGUUGUUGUCGGUUGUUACGGUGUUCGCUGUUCUUGCUGUUGGUAUAUUGUUGAGGCUGGUUAUUGAAAAGAGAAAGGCACACAUCGGCCGGGUCAGCCAUUUGGGUUGAGUAGUUUGGUAUUGGGCUAAUGAAGGGUGUGGUAAUGGGUUGCUGUUGGUGUUGUAAGGUGAAGAGAGGAAAAUGGGGAAUGGGCUCGGGUUGAUAUUUAAAUUGGGCCUGGGUCGGUGGGUGUGUUACUG